UAGCUGCAUUGUACUCCCUCUGUUCCAUAAAGAUUGGCACGGCUUUGAACUAGGGCUAGUUCAAAAUCAUGCCAACCUUUAUGGAACGGAGGGAGUAGCUGCUAAAAUUUU